rnacentral:tRNA from 1 species
GCCGGUGUGGCUCAGUGGGCAGAGCGUCAGUCUGCAGACUGAAGGGUCCCGGGUUCGAUUCCCGGUCAGGGCG